AGAAUCAACGCUGGCGGCGUGCCUAACACAUGCAAGUCGCACGAGAAAGGGUAGCAAUACCUGAGUAAAGUGGCGCACGGGUGAGUAACACGUGAAUAAUCUACCUCCGAGUGGGGAAUAACUGAGAGAAAUCUUAGCUAAUACCGCAUAACACUUACGAGUCAAAGCAGUAAUGCGCUUGGAGAGGAGUUCGCGGCAGAUUAGCUAGUUGGCGGGGUAAUGGCCACCAAGGCGAUGAUCUGUAUCCGGCCUGAGAGGGCGCACGGACACACUGGAACUGAAACACGGUCCAGACUCCUACGGGAGGCAGCAGUGGGGAAUUUUGCGCAAUGGGGGAAACCCUGACGCAGCAACGCCGCGUGGAGGAUGAAAUCCCUUGGGAUGUAAACUCCUUUCGAUAGGGAAGAUAAUGACGGUACCUAUAGAAGAAGCCCCGGCUAACUUCGCGCCAGCAGCCGC
rnacentral:rRNA from 1 species